GACGAGGGGUCCUAGCGUUGUUCGGAAUCAUUGGGCGUAAAGCGUGUGUAGGCGGCCAUCUAAGUCAGGUGUGAAAGCCCCGGGCUCAACCUGGGAAGUGCAUUUGAUACUGGAUGGCUUGAGUAUGGGAGAGGAUAGUGGAAUUCCUGGUGUAGUGGUGAAAUACGUAGAUAUCAGGAGGAACACCGGUGGCGAAGGCGGCUAUCUGGCCCUAUACUGACGCUGAGACACGAAAGCGUGGGGAGCAAACAGG
rnacentral:misc_RNA from 1 species